UACACGUCGAUAAUCUGCCCUAGGGUCGAUGAAAGCUACGCGAAAGUGUGGGUAAACAUCGAUAGGCAAUAGAUACUGCAACGUUCUAUUGCCCAAAUUCGUGCCCUAGGAUGAGUCGGCGGCCGAUUAGGUAGUUGGCGGGGUAACGGCCCACCAAGCCUUGGAUCGGUACGGGCCAUGAAAGUGGUAGCCCGGAGAGGGACACUGAGAUACUGGUCCCAGCCCUACGGGGUGCAGCAGGCGCGAAAACUCUCCAAUGUGCGAAAGCGUGAGAGGGGGAUUCCUAGUGCUUAUGGUUCAUCCAUAGGCUUUUGCCAUGUGUAAAUAGCAUGGCGAAUAAGUGGUGGGCAAGACUGGUGCCAGCCGCCGCGGUAACACCAGCGCCACGAGUGGCUAUCGCGAUUAUUGGGCCUAAAGCGUCCGUAGUCGGGCUUGUACAUCUUCUGUGAAAUCGCUGCGCUCAACGUAGCGGCAUGCGGAAGACACGGCAAGCCUUGAGACCGGAAGGCGUGAAGGGUACUCCAAGGGGACCGGUAAAAUGGUAUAAUCCUUGGAAGACCACCUGUGGCGAAGGCGCUUCACGAGUACGGAUCUGACGAUGAGGGACGAAAGCCAGGGGAGCAAACCGGAUUAGAUACCCGAGUAGUCCUGGCCGUAAACGCUGUCAGCUAGGUGUUGCGUCGACUUGAGUCGCCGCAGUAUCGGAGCGAAGGUAUUAAGCUGACCGCCUGGAAGUACGUCG
rnacentral:rRNA from 1 species